CAGUAGCCGCGGUAAUACAGAGGGUGCGAGCGUUAGUCGGAUUUACUGGGCGUAAAGCGUGCGUAGGCGGCUUCUUAAGUCGGAUGUGAAAUCCCUGAGCUUAACUUAGGAAUUGCAUUCGAUACUGGGAAGCUAAAGUAUGGGAGAGGAUGGUAGAAUUCCAGGUGUAGCGGUGAAAUGCGUAGAGAUCUGGAGGAAUACCGAUGGCGAAGGCAGCCAUCUGGCCUAAUACUGACGCUGAGGUGCGAAAGCGUGGGGAGCAAACAGGAUUAGAUACCCCCGUAGUCCCUGUCUCUUAUAC
rnacentral:rRNA from 1 species